rnacentral:rRNA from 1 species
UACGUAGGGCGCAAGCGUUGUCCGGAAUUAUUGGGCGUAAAGAGCUCGUAGGCGGAUCGUUAAGUCGGGGGUGAAAUCCUGGAGCUCAACUCCAGAACUGCCUUCGAUACUGGCGAUCUAGAGUCCGGAAGAGGUGAGUGGAACUCCUAGUGUAGAGGUGGAAUUCGUAGAUAUUAGGAAGAACACCAGUGGCGAAGGCGGCUCACUGGUCCGGUACUGACGCUGAGGUGCGAAAGCGUGGGGAGCAAACAGG